GACGAUCGCUGGCGGCGUGCCUAAUACAUGCAAGUCGAACGAACCGCGACUAGGUGCUUGCACUUGGUCAAGGUGAGUGGCGAACGGGUGAGUAACACGUGGGUAACCUACCUCAUAGUGGGGGAUAACAGUCGGAAACGACUGCUAAUACCGCAUAGGACAUAGGAUCACAUGAUCCAGUGAGGAAAGGUGGCGCAAGCUAUCGCUAAAAGAUGGACCCGCGGUGCAUUAGCUAGUUGGUAGGGUAAAGGCCUACCAAGGCGAUGAUGCAUAGCCGACCUGAGAGGGUGAUCGGCCACAUUGGGACUGAGACACGGCCCAAACUCCUACGGGAGGCAGCAGUAGGGAAUCUUCCGCAAUGGACGCAAGUCUGACGGAGCAACGCCGCGUGAGUGAAGAAGGUCUUCGGAUCGUAAAGCUCUGUUGUUAGAGAAGAACAGCGCAUAGAGUAACUGUUAUGCGUGUGACGGUAUCUAACCAGAAAGCCACGGCUAACUACGUG
rnacentral:rRNA from 1 species